ACACACUACAAUUGUCAUUUGCAUAAACAAUAACAUUUAUUGCAGAACAUAAAAUAUGAAUUUGGCACAAAUAAUAAAUAUAUCAUGUACAGGAUUAAAAAUAAUAUCUGCAGCCAUACUCAACCACUCCUUACAUUGUUUCAUUUUUGUUCUCCCCUUAAAGGGACACUAUAGUCACCUGAACAACUUUAGCUUAAUGAAGCAGUUUUGGUGUAUAGAAUAUGCCCCUGCAGCCUCACUGCUAAAUCCUCUGCCAUUUAGGCGUUAAAUCCCUUUGUUUAUGAUCCCUAGUCACACCUCCCUGCAUGUGACUUGCACAGCCUUCCAUAAACACUUCCUGUAAAGAGAGCCCUAUUUAGGCUUUCUUUAUUGCAAGUUCUGUUUAAUUAAGAUUUUCUUAUCCCCUGCUAUGUUAAUAGCUUGCUAGACCCUGCAAGAGCCUCCUGUAGGUGAUUAAAGUUCAAUUUAG